UGAUAGAGGCGCGGUUCUCAUGAGUACCACCGGACAAGGGCAGGCAGCCGUCCGUGGGAAAGGGAGCGCCGCCGAAGGGAGUGCCGCUGCCUGGCGGUGCUUGGCCUGGGCCGCCGGGGAAAACCCGUCGGACUGUCACAAGUGUGUGAAGCGCUAUCUGG
rnacentral:ncRNA from 1 species